rnacentral:rRNA from 1 species
GACGAACGCUGGCGGCGUGCUUAACACAUGCAAGUCGAACGAAGAGCGAUGGAAGCUUGCUUCUAUCACUCUUAGUGGCGAACGGGUGAGUAACGCGUAAUCAACCUGCCCUUCAGAGGGGGACAACAGUUGGAAACGACUGCUAAUACCGCAUACGAUCUAAUCUCGGCAUCGAGGAUAGAUGAAAGGUGGCCUCUACAUGUAAGCUAUCACUGAAGGAGGGGAUUGCGUCUGAUUAGCUAGUUGGAGGGGUAACGGCCCACCAAGGCGAUGAUCAGUAGCCGGUCUGAGAGGAUGAACGGCCACAUUGGGACGGAGACACGGCCCAGACUCCUACGGGAGGCAGCAGUGGGGAAUCUUCCGCAAUGGACGAAAGUCUGACGGAGCAACGCCGCGUGAGGGAUGACGGCCUUCGGGUUGUAAAGCUCUGUUAAUCGGGACGAAAGGCCUUCUUGCGAAUAGUGAGAAGGAUUGACGGUACCGGAAUAGAAAGCCACGGCUAACUACGUG